GCAGAAGGAUCAUUAGUGAAAGUUUCGGGCCUGCCAUACGGACGCAAACACGUCUCUGGCGCCCAUCACUAUAUCCAUACCAACCCCUGUGCACUGUGAUGACGAAUGUCAUCGAACAAAAAAACUCGUAUGGUUGAAUGUACGUGAAAUUGUAGGUAUAGCCUACGAACUAUACACAACUUUCGACAACGGAUCUCUUGGUUCUCCCA
rnacentral:misc_RNA from 1 species